GGGAACAAUUUCCCCCCCAUUUUCUGUUGCAUGAGAUUUUUCAACUGUUCUUAUAUGUUCUUUCAAUGCUGAUUUCAAAUCUGAAAUCGAUUUUUUGUGUCCAUGCUAUAGUUAUCUUUCAAUUUCCGACUUUUGCCGAUAUGUCAUAUUUACACUGUGGAUAAGUGGACACUGACACGUUGGUCUACCCUAACCACAUGGUAAUUAUUGUUUUGCAAACUUAAUUUUUCUUUAUUUUUAUAGUUUUGUAACCUAAAUAUUUGUAUUUUUCAGAUCGGACCAUGGCUUCUUCAAAUCAACAUAUCAGUGUCCACUUAUCCCCAGUGUAAAUAUGACAUAUCGGCAAAAGUCGGAAAUUGAAAGAUAACUAUAGCGUGUACACAAAAAUCGAUUUCAGAUUUGAAAUCAUCAUUGAAAGCACAUAUAAGAACAGUUGAAAAAUUUCAUGCAACAGAAAAUGAAAAAAAAUUGUUCCCCAGUAUACUGUGUAUCCCAAGGGAAUACAUUUUUUUGCAUACCUCCAACUGUACAUAGAUAUUCAUGCCAUGUUCAAUGCUAUAUAAGUCACUUACAUUUAUACUCAUAUUGUACUACUUUGGCUAUGUGUUUAAUAAAAUAUUGAAUUCUUGCAUUGUGAAAAACAAA